AAAAAUACUUUGAACAGGAGUAGUAGUAUUUUCCCACUUUUAAGAGAACUGUUGGAUGGUGUAAAACAGUAGUGAAAAAUACGAACUCGCCUGGGAGUUUAUCUGUCAAAAGCAGAUACGGUUAUUCCGUUAAAAUACUAAGUGAAAGUCUAACAUUUAGACCUUAAUUAGAGUGGUACCGCGGAGAUUCAAGCCUUCGUCUCUUAA
rnacentral:ncRNA from 1 species